CAGUAGCCGCGGUAAUCCGGAGGGGGCUAGCGUUGUUCGGAAUUACUGGGCGUAAAGCGCACGUAGGCUGCUUUGUAAGUUAGAGGUGAAAGCCUGGUGCUCAACACCAGAACUGCCUCUAAGACUGCAGAGCUAGAACGUCGGAGAGGUGAGUGGAAUUCCGAGUGUAGAGGUGAAAUUCGUAGAUAUUCGGAAGAACACCAGUGGCGAAGGCGGCUCACUGGACGACUGUUGACGCUGAGGUGCGAAAGCGUGGGGAGCAAACAGGAUUAGAUACCCCUGUAGUCCCUGUCUCUUAUAA
rnacentral:rRNA from 1 species